ACUCCUACGGGAGGCAGCAGUGGGGAAUUUUGCGCAAUGGGCGAAAGCCUGACGCAGCAACGCCGCGUGAGUGAUGAAGGCUUUCGGGUCGUAAAGCUCUGUCAGGGGGAAAGAAGUGUAUUGCGGCUAAUAUCCGCGAUACUUGACGGUACCCCCAAAGGAAGCACCGGCUAACUCCGUGCCAGCAGCCGCGGUAAUACGGAGGGUGCAAGCGUUGUUCGGAAUUAUUGGGCGUAAAGCGCGUGUAGGCGGUUUGCUAAGUCUGAUGUGAAAGCCCCGGGCUCAACCCGGGAAGUGCAUUGGAAACUGGCAGACUUGAAUACGGGAGAGGGUAGUGGAAUUCCUGGUGUAGGAGUGAAAUCCGUAGAUAUUAGGAGGAACACCGGUGGCGAAGGCGGCUGCCUGGACCGAUAUUGACGCUGAGACGCGAAAGCGUGGGUAGCAAACAGGAUUAGAUACCCUGGUAGUCCACGCCGUAAACGAUGAGAACUAGGUGUCGCGGGUA
rnacentral:rRNA from 1 species